rnacentral:rRNA from 1 species
UACGGAGGAGGCAAGCGUUAUCCGGAAUUAUUGGGCGUAAAGCGUCCGCAGGUGGCAGUUCAAGUCUGCUGUCAAAGACCGGGGCUUAACUUCGGAAAGGCAGUGGAAACUGAACAGCUAGAGUAUGGUAGGGGCAGAGGGAAUUCCUGGUGUAGCGGUGAAAUGCGUAGAUAUCAGGAAGAACAUCGGUGGCGAAGGCGGUUCUCUGGGCCUGUACUGACGCUGAGGAACGAAAGCAUGGGGAGCGAACAGG